rnacentral:misc_RNA from 1 species
AGCAGCCGCGGUAAUUCCAGCUCCAAUAGCGUAUAUUAAAGUUGUUGCAGUUAAAAAGCUCGUAGUUGAAUUUCGAGAUCAAAUUGUUGGUCGUGCCUUGGUACGCACUGGCAUUAUUGGUUUCUCCCUUCUGACGAACCAUGAUGUCAUUAAUUUGGUGUCUUGGGGAAUCAGGACUGUUACUUUGAAAAAUUAGAGUGUUUAAAGCAGGCUCACGCUUGAAUACAUUAGCAUGGAAUAAUGAAAUAGGACGUUUGAUUCUAUUUUGUUGGUUUCUAGGAUCGACGUAAUGAUUAAUAGGGAUAGUUGGGGGCAUUAGUAUUCAAUUGUCAGAGGUGAAAUUCUUGGAUUUAUUGAAGACUAACUACUGCGAAAGCAUUUGCCAAGGAUGUUUUCAUUAAUCAAGAACGAAAGUUAGGGGAUCGAAGACGAUCAGAUACCGUCGUAGUCUUAACCAUAAACUAUGCCGACUAGGGAUCGGAUGAUGUUAAUUUUUAAUGACUCAUUCGGUACG